rnacentral:rRNA from 1 species
UGCCAGCCGCCGCGGUAAGACGGAGGGUGCUAGCGUUGUUCGGAAUUACUGGGCGUAAAGGGCGCGUAGGCGGCCUGGCAAGUCGGAUGUGAAAGCCCGGGGCUCAACCUCGGAACUGCAUUCGAAACUGCUGGGCUAGAGAACGGAAGAGGAAAGUGGAAUUCCGAGUGUAGGGGUGAAAUCCGUAGAUAUUCGGAGGAACACCAGUGGCGAAGGCGGCUUUCUGGACCGAUACUGACGCUGAGACGCGAAAGCGUGGGGAGCAAACAGGAUUAGAUA